UUCCUGUACGAUUACUGAAGUUAAGCAACGUCGAACCUGGUCAGUACUUAGAUGGGUAACCACUUGAGAAUACCAGGUGCUGUCA